GUUUUAAUAAUUUAAUAAAAAUAUUGAUUUUGUAAAUCAAAAAUAAGAGCUCUUUUAAAAUU
rnacentral:tRNA from 1 species